UCAAGUAAUUUUUUAAAAAAUUAAAUUAAAAAUUUAAAAAUAAAAUUAGGAUUUUACUUCAUCUGUGAUUGUGAUUUUCAUAUAAAAACAUGAAUCCAGCUGCUAGAACUUUAAAACUAACAUAAAAAAAUACUACAUCCAACACAAGAAGACUAAAGAUUUAAAAAAGGGAUCCAGGUCAGUUCACAACAUCCUGCUUUGGUUCGGUUGCUGCCAUAGCACUGUACAUUGCCAGGGGACCCCUCUAGCUCUCAGUCCCCACCCCUGGAGAAUUUUCUUAGUAAGAAUAUUCCAGACAAAAAUUUUCCUCAGAUGAGAUGUCUCUGCUGGAUAUUUGCAACUUUUUUGUGACUGAUCCACCAGGAAAAUCAGUUUAAGUUCAUGUGCCAAACUCUGAAUUAUUAUCUAGUCCAGGAAGGACAUUAUGAUAGUAUUGUAAUGAGCUGUCAAAAAGUAAUUUUUACUGAACUCAGAAAUUCCUGGCAGUUCUAGAUUUUAAGCCUAAUUUUACAAAGAUUUUCAGAAUGUCCAUAUUUAUGUUAUACUAUUCAACACACAAAAUCUCCACCAUUGGCAUUUCAAGUGAAUUUAAUGUAAAAAAUAAUUAAAUGUGGCUCCUUUAUCUUGUCAUAUAGAAACCAAGUCAAGGAAGGUAUUUAAAUCAGUAUGAAUACAAAUCAGAUUAGGACCAAUCCUUCCCAUUACCUUAUUUUUGCACCUAUGUGAACUGCUGAAAUUCGGCAGAGUUAAAUUAGUCUAUGACAUAACACAAUGAAGAAUGAAAUUGCCCUCCAGAAGCUCUGAAUAUAAACAGUCUGGUGUCUGCUUUCCUAUUCUCUACAGGUCUGGGUUGUGCCUUAUCCAGGACUGUUGCCAUGAAUUGCUUUACUGCUAGUAUUCAAGGUCCAAAACAGUAACAUUGAACAAAAGCAGAUAUUCAAAUCAGAGUUCAAGGAAGAAAUUAACUUGGUAAGAAGUCAAGGCAUGACAGGACCUACAUAUGACAAACUAGAGAAGUCACAAACUGCUGACCUGCACAAGGGCCACCUCAGGCAGAAGGAGCUUGCUGAAGUUGCUGAGAACCCACCACAGCUACACUGCUGCCCAUGUGCAUGAUGACAUGUCUCCAUCAUGCUCACUGGGUGGUCCUCAGUGGCUCAAGCAAUCACUGCACCCAUUCAAGACACAGCUGCUGCCCAAAGGGGAAGAUGGUGCAUCCCCAUCACUGCUUUGUGCCUGCCCAAAGAGUCCUAUAUCCUCCCCAGCCACAGCUCUACCUCUCCGCAUGACCUUCCAUGAGCAAAGUCAGGACUUCCCAGGGGUAUGCUCAGCAACCUGAUUCAUCUCACUAGUCUAGAAGAAAACAACCAGAAGAAAACCAAAUCAAAAAAAAAAAAAAAAAAAAAAAAAAAAAAA